CCCCUCCCCCAACCCCCGCCCCUGCCCUUCCCGAGGGCGGCUGCCGUGGCCCGGAGAUAAGCGCCCGCCGCGGGGCUCCGCCUGGGCAGUGGCACCGGCUCGGGUACGAGGUGGCAUUUGAGGAAAG